rnacentral:tRNA from 1 species
ACUCAGUUGGUAGAGCAAGAGACUCUUAAUCUCAGGGUCGUGGGUUUGAGCCCCACAUUGGGUG